GCUCAUACAACAAAUUUGACGUCACGUUUAUUUCUGUUUUUCGUUUUGGUCGUUGUGGUUCAUCGUUUGUCGUUUGCGAGUGCGGCAUGUUUGACGUCAAGUUGAAAGAAUUGUUGGAGAGCUGGGGCUUUGGCCACUUGUUUCAAUAUUUCACUGAUGAGGAAAUUACCCUUAAAAGGAUAAAUUACAUAACAGAAGACGACUUAACAUAUAUAUUUCGAAAUUCGAAAUUGGGUGGAAAAAAACAUCGGAUAAUGUUAAACUUGGUAUUUUUACAUUAUCCCGGGAACGAGAUUUGGAUGCAGAUGAUUUCGGCCGGGACCACUUCAGCACAUCAUCGACCAUAAACAACAAUCUCUUCAGCAAGAAAUCAUUUUUGGACAUUGAUAUUAUUCUCAGUGAGCAUCCUUCUGGCAACUGUGUCCAACGAGCACUUAACGAAGGAAAUAACCUUAACGAUGUGACUAGAAAGAUUUUAGUUGAAGCGAUCGUAACAUAUAUCAUAAAAAAUAAAAUAAAGCCAAGCAGAUCGGAUUUUGAAAGAAUUUCUAGUGAUAUAGAAGCACAAUUUAAUGACGAUAAGAAAAUCUAUUACCUCGUUGUUCUUCGAGCAUCAAAAAUGAGUUCAUUAAACUUUGAAAGAAAGAAUCUGCAACCUUCGACUAACUGAAAUUAGUUCUUCUCAUUUUUCUGUUCCUUCUGGUACGGGGGAGCUUUUCUAUUUUCAUUUUUCAAAUAAUGCGUAUUUAUGAGCAAACAAUGAUAUUAUAUUUACUUUUACUGUGUCAAUAUUUGCAUGCAAUUAAUUUCCCCAGCUUCGGUGAGAGCGUUAAAAGCGGGGGCCACCAGCAGCCCGCAUACCAGUAAACCAUGACGAGCAGUGAAAAAUCAAAACCAAACGAACCGUGGAGCGAGGGCAAAGUGCCGUAACGUGUGCAGAGAGCAGGAGUUUUCCGGGAAAACUCCAAGACCCACAGCCACCCACAUCGAAAACCCACACCCAGAAUGUCCUAGCUGGCGGGUAUGCCGCAAUUUACUUUAGAAGUAUUGCUAACGAAGGAAUCGAAGACGAGUGGCUGUUGAUGUUUCUGUUAUUUUCUGAUGAUGGGCGAUGAUAACGAGAUGCUCCGCUGAAGUUUGGCAAGUUUGUGGCGCUUCCUUUGGCGCAUCCUUUGUGGCCGGGCUCGAAGACAAGUCGCCGGAAAGUUCGGGCUAAUGCCAGCCACAUUUUGCUUUCCCUUAAAAAAGUUCGUUUGCAUGCUUUCGACUUUUUUAAUUAAAUCUUCGGGCAGAAGACAAAUAGA